rnacentral:rRNA from 1 species
UGAAGUUAAAGNCAGUGGCUCAACCAUUGUAGGCUUUGGAAACUGUUUAACUUGAGUGCAGAAGGGGAGAGUGGAAUUCCAUGUGUAGCGGUGAAAUGCGUAGAUAUAUGGAGGAACACCGGUGGCGAAAGCGGCUCUCUGGUCUGUAACUGACGCUGAGGCUCGAAAGCGUGGGGAGCGAACAGGAUUAGAUACCCUGGUAGUCCACGCCGUAAACGAUGAGUGCUAGGUGUUAGGUCCUUUCCGGGACUUAGUGCCGCAGCUAACGCAUUAAGCACUCCGCCUGGGGAGUACGACCGCAAGGUUGAAACUCAAAGGAAUUGACGGGGGCCCGCACAAGCGGUGGAGCAUGUGGUUUAAUUCGAAGCAACGCGAAGAACCUUACCAGGUCUUGACAUCCCGAUGCCCGCUCUAGAGAUAGAGCUUUACUUCGGUACAUCGGUGACAGGUGGUGCAUGGUUGUCGUCAGCUCGUGUCGUGAGAUGUUGGGUUAAGUCCCGCAACGAGCGCAACCCUUAUUGUUAGUUGCCAUCAUUCAGUUGGGCACUCUAGCGAGACUGCCGGUAAUAAACCGGAGGAAGGUGGGGAUGACGUCAAAUCAUCAUGCCCCUUAUGACCUGGGCUACACACGUGCUACAAUGGCUGGUACAACGAGUCGCAAGCCGGUGACGGCAAGCUAAUCUCUGAAAGCCAGUCUCAGUUCGGAUUGUAGGCUGCAACUCGCCUACAUGAAGUCGGAAUCGCUAGUAAUCGCGGAUCAGCACGCCGCGGUGAAUACGUUCCCGGGCCUUGUACACACCGCCCGUCACACCACGAGAGUUUGUAACACCCGAAGUCGGUGAGGUAACCGUAAGGAGC